AUAAAACCUUCGAUGAUGCAGCGAUGAACAGUCGGACCAUUGUCUUUCUCCCUCGUUACCUCUACCCCCGAAGGCUUCGACGAAAACAAAGUCUAGAAGUUGCGACGGAAGCUUGCUAGCGAAGGUUUGGCCUGUCUAGGUUUUCCUUUCCUCUUCUCCGAUGUUUGAUUUCGCCGGCUGUUCGACUUCUUCUGCUUCGUUGAGGCAGAGUUUUGAACGAGUUAACGCGUUCUGUUUGGUCGGAAGUCUCGCCACCUUCGAUGACGUUCUUCCUGUUGGGUCGGAAGUAACGAAGGGGCUUGCUCGUUGCGAAGGUAAUUAAAUGGAUCAUGAGGUUUUGCUUGAAGAUUUGAUCGAUAAGACUGUUGAUACUAUUUUUCAAAUUUUUGUGGACUUUAUGGCAAGAUGUGCAAAGUUUGAAGAGCUUGCUGAUGCAGGGGAAGGGUUCCUUAGAGGAUUCUAUCGAGAACAAGAGAUAUGCAGGAGGCCUCCACUUUACAAAACAUCAAGUGUGGUUGAUGAAGUUAUCAAUUCUAAUUACACUGACGAACUGGCGGAAUAUGUUGAAGCUGGUUUUAACAAACAUGAAAAUGUUGUUAAAAAUGUUAGUAAAUAGCGUUCUAAUUUGUUUCAUCUCAUAUUUUUCUUGGACAUGUUAUCAAAGUGAAUUCUUGCAAACUAAGGCUUGAAGACUAUUUAAUCAAAGGUGACCUCUCUCAAGUUGUCUAUGACAUUCAGAAGCUCAUUCAAUGGUUUAUCACUUUCUGCUUUUUAACUGACAUUUAGCUGUAACCUGCUUUCUCUUUCUUUUCAUUUCAGCAAAAGUUCUUCUUGAUGAACUUGAAAGCCUUAAGCACAAUGCAAUUGAUAUAAUAAAGCAUGCUAUUGAUGAACAUUCUUCAGAUUGUGUAUUUAACUUCCUUCAAGAUACCAAAACACAACAAGCACAUUCGGUUUGAGAGGUACAGCUAAUAAAUAUUAAAUACAUGUUAUUUCAAUUUGAUUUACUGGUUUGUUGUUGAUCAUCAUGCUUGAUUGAUUGAAACUCUAAGAUCACUUCUUAGCGAAGUGACCUAUAACAAAUGACACUUGAAAAGCUAAGUG